AGAGUUUGAUCCUGGCUCAGGACGAACGCUGGCGGCGCGCCUAACACAUGCAAGUCGAACGGAGCUGAGAGGAGCUUGCUUUUCUUAGCUUAGUGGCGAACGGGUGAGUAACGCGUGAGUAACCUGCCCUGGAGUGGGGGACAACAGUUGGAAACGACUGCUAAUACCGCAUAAGCCCACGGCCCGGCAUCGGGCUGAGGGAAAAGGAUUUAUUCGCUUCAGGAUGGACUCGCGUCCAAUUAGCUAGUUGGUGAGGUAACGGCCCACCAAGGCGACGAUUGGUAGCCGGACUGAGAGGUUGAACGGCCACAUUGGGACUGAGACACGGCCCAGACUCCUACGGGAGGCAGCAGUGGGGGAUAUUGCACAAUGGGGGAAACCCUGAUGCAGCGAUGCCGCGUGGAGGAAGAAGGUUUUCGGAUUGUAAACUCCUGUCGUAAGGGAAGAGGAAGGACUGUACCUUACAAGAAAGCUCCGGCUAACUACGUGCCAGCAGCCGCGGUAAUACGUAGGGAGCGAGCGUUGUCCGGAAUGACUGGGUGUAAAGGGAGCGUAGGCGGGAUGGCAAGUCAGAUGUGAAACCUGAGGGCUCAACCUUCAGACUGCAUUUGAAACUGCUGUUCUUGAGUGAAGUAGAGGUAAGCGGAAUUCCUGGUGUAGCGGUGAAAUGCGUAGAGAUCAGGAGGAACAUCGGUGGCGAAGGCGGCUUACUGGGCUUUUACUGACGCUGAGGCUCGAAAGCGUGGGGAGCAAACAGGAUUAGAUACCCUGGUAGUCCACGCUGUAAACGAUGAUUACUAGGUGUGGGGGGAUUGACCCCUUCCGUGCCGCAGUUAACACAAUAAGUAAUCCACCUGGGGAGUACGACCGCAAGGUUGAAACUCAAAGGAAUUGACGGGGGCCCGCACAAGCAGUGGAGUAUGUGGUUUAAUUCGAAGCAACG
rnacentral:rRNA from 1 species